AAAAACAUUUUUUUACAAAAGUUCCCUACAGCACCUUUAAAUGGGAAGGUUUCUGGGUGAUAUUCUGACUUCAGAAGUCCAGUGCAGAAGUUUACAAAUGUGAUCCAGUGCUGUUUGAGAGCCUUCACCAUCAUCAAUACAGAAAAGGAACAAUGUUUUUCUCUCUAUUACAUCUGUAGAUGAGGUCGUGCUACAAACGAAUGAUUCGAUUGCAAACGUUUGUUCUUGGGUUGAAAACCACUAAACGUAUCCUUUCAAUCCAACAUCAGACCGCAAGGUUAAUGUAAAUGCAUUGAAUCAUUCUGCACGAAUCAUUAUUAGUAGUGCUGUGAAAAGAUUGAGAGCAGUUCUGAUGUGUACAGAUUUAACUGUAGAAAUAACUGAAGUCCCCAAAUUGCAUUACUCUUUAAGUGCUCUGUUUUUAAACUUAGGGUUCUCGUUGUCUUUAGGCGGUCAAACUAGACUUUAGACAAGUAGUCUUGUAAAUAUAAAAUGAGUGUGUAACUGUUUUUUUCUUCUUUGUGUGUUUCCUGCUUCCUGUAGAUGAUGACUCAGGAUCUGCACCGCUGAAGAGCAACGCCGCUACCAACCACAAAGACAAAAAUGUCCGGCAAAGGAACUCCAACUGAGGAAGGAGAAAAGGUGGCUUGAUGACUACUGUUGAAGAUAAUGUGGAGCAUUGAGUUACUGAGAAGCACAUUAUAGUGCGCACUGCGAGUUCUUCACCUUCUGCUUAAGUGUAAAUGUCUUUUACUUUUCAUAUCCAUAUUGUGCUACCAACAGUUUAUUUUACAUUUGGGGGGAGGGGGGAAAUGCAUGAUUGCACUAUUGCUGUAGAAGUGUGUUUAUUGAAUGUGUUGAUGUGGGAAUGAACUUUUAUUUUUUUGUCUUUUUGGUUUCUCUCACUGUUGAGUGUGGGCACCACAGCUUUUCGAAAUGUCUACCUAUUAUAAUUGAAUCACUGUUCAGCCGCAUGAGAAUGUAAUCAUGUUCAGUAUACACAAAAACACUGAAUCAAGUUUUUAUCACUCUUGACUAUUGACAGUCGUUUUCCUUUCUGUAAGCCAUAAUGUUUAACCACUUUAUUGUACAUGCUGUUUUUAAUUUUUUAAAUUUAAAUUAACUUUUUGUGUAGUACUCAUUUUGUCGCUGCACAUUUUAAAGUGCACUAUUCCACAUGGACGGACGAAUGGCACUUUUAAUAAUCAGUUUAAUAAUCUCAAACAACUAAUUUUAAAGUUGCUAAUGUAGUUUCUAAUGAUGACUUUGAGUAUUCCUCCUGCCUAACCUGUAAGGACCAAGUGCUAGUACAGUGUUUCAUUUGCUGUUCGCAGAAUCCGUUAUAAUUGUUUCCCAAAUUCUAACAUGAAGGACGAUGACAUGGUUAUAAAUAUUUAGGUAAUGUCAGUGAUGGUGGGGUUUUCGUGAAGGCUUUUGGUUAAAUGGGCCUGUCCUAUCGACAGACAUGCUUGCAUCCAGAUACUAUACAAUGUAUUCCAAUGCAUAUCGUUUCAAAGUUAAAAGAUGCAUAACAUUUAAGACCUUGUUUUUGGCUUAAGAGGAAAUCUCAUACACGAUCAACUGUAAUGAUUUGCACACUCUGAAUAAAGUUAUUUUAUUUUAA